GCCCUCGUAGCAUAACGGAUGAUGCACCUCUCUAACUAAGUGGACGAUGUGGGCUCGACUCCCGCCGAGGGCG
rnacentral:tRNA from 1 species